CGGUUUUGCUGUUACUGCUGUUGCUGCUGCUGAUACUGCCUACUGACCUCCUUAUUACCCCAUGACAAAAAUGAAGAAGCUAGACUAAGCUAUGAUCUAUGCUUUACAAAGAUUUAUUUUCAAACUUGAUCUUGUGACUGAUGUUGCCUCGUUGACUUGUAUUUUCCUCAGAAGUUCCUUUGUGGCUGACUUGAAUGGUAUUCUUUGAAAUGCUUUCCUUUCUUCUCCAGGCGGGCACCUGAUUGCUGAACCCUUUAAAUGUCUUCCUUUGACUAUUGUUUCCUUUCCUCUGUUCCCCAGGCGGGCUCUUGAUUAUUUGAAAUUUGAAUUGCUUCUUCCCUUCGUUCUCCAGGUGGGCUCCUGAUUGCUGAGACUCGAAAUGUAUUCCCUUGUUCUCUAGAUGGGCUCCUGAUUGCUGAAACUUGAAUUGUAUUCCCUUAUUCUCCAGGUGGGCUCCUGAUUGCUGAAACUUGAACUGCAUUCUCUUGCUCUCCAGGUGGGCUCCUGAUUGCUGAGACUCGAAUUGUAUUCCCUUGUUCUCCAGGUGGGCUCCUGAUUGCUGAAACUUGAAUUGUAUUC
rnacentral:lncRNA from 1 species